UACGUAGGGUGCAAGCGUUGUUCGGAAUUACUGGGUGUAAAGGGAGAGUAGGCGGUUUGGUAAGUUAGAAGUGAAAUGCCCACGCUUAACGUGGGACCUGCUUUUAAUACUGCCGAACUUGAGUAUGGGAGAGGAAGAUAGAAUUCCAGGUGUAGCGGUGGAAUGCGUAGAUAUCUGGAAGAAUACCAGUUGCGUAGGCGGUCUUCUGGCCCAAUACUGACGCUGAGGCUCGAAAGCUAGGGGAG
rnacentral:rRNA from 1 species